AGAUGCAACAUAAAAAUUUCAGAGACAGAAGAAAUCUUCCUUUGAGGGCAGUGAUACACUUAUGUGAGAUUUUGAAAAGUGAAAAAUCAAAGGUGGAAUUGACCAAUAGAUGUAAAAGUACAACAAAUAAACAAAAAUGGCAAUGUUGAAAGUGAAACUGAAAUUCAACAGAAAUAAAAGAAAUAGCAGACUGGGGGGAUAUUGACUUUGACACCAUGAUGCCAGAGGAACUUAGUAAUGGCAAACUUAUCAAUAUAAAAUGAGGAUAUUGGUUGUCAACUAGGUUGUGUGGUGGUCCUUGAUCUUGUCCAUCAAGUCCUUUUUCCCAAAGGAUAACUGAAGAAGAUCACAUACAUUCCAACUUAUUGAGUCUGAUAGGUAUUCAUCUGAUGAGCUCCUCUUCAACUGAGGAUUGAAAUGCUGUUUUUCUUCCCUGGUACAAUGUUAAAGCUUUAAACUCUCGUCAAUGAUGUGAUGUUUCAUCUGCAAUGAUCUACACUAGAAAAAUAAAGAUGUAGUUACUGACAAAAAAGCAGGAUCACACAUGACAAUAUUAACUUUAAAUGUAAAUGGACUAAAUGCUCCAAUUAAAAGACACAGACUGGCAAAUUGGAUAAAGAGUCAA
rnacentral:lncRNA from 1 species